CCUACGGGAGGCAGCAGUGAGGAAUAUUGGUCAAUGGGCGGAAGCCUGAACCAGCCAAGUCGCGUGAGGGAUUAAGGCCCUGCGGGUCGUAAACCUCUUUUGCCGGGGAGCAGUGGUCCGGACGUGUCCGGGCCGGGAGAGUACCCGGAGAAAAAGCAUCGGCUAACUCCGUGCCAGCAGCCGCGGUAAUACGGAGGAUGCGAGCGUUAUCCGGAUUUAUGGGGUUAAAGGGUGUGCAGCCGGGAAGACAAGUCAGAUGUGAAAUCCCGCGGCUCAACCGCGGAAUUGCAUUUGAAACUGGUUUUCUUGAGUACCGGAGAGGUCAUCGGAAUUCCUUGUGUAGCGGUGAAAUGCGUAGAUAUAAGGAAGAACACCAGUGGCGAAGGCGGAUGACUGGACGGCAACUGACGGUGAGGCGCGAAAGCGUGGGGAGCAAACAGGAUUAGAUACCCGGGUAGUC
rnacentral:rRNA from 1 species